GCCUGCUUAGCAUAGUGGCUAAUGCGUUGCACUUGUAUCACCUCGACGACAUGCAAAGAUCACAGGUUCGAUUCCUGUAGUAGGCA